CCUACGGGAGGCUGCAGUGGGGAAUAUUGGACAAUGGGCGAAAGCCUGAUCCAGCCAUGCCGCGUGUGUGAAGAAGGCCUUCGGGUUGUAAAGCACUUUCAGUGGGGAAGAAAGCCUUGGGGCUAAUACCCUCGAGGAAGGACAUCACCCACAGAAGAAGCACCGGCUAACUCCGUGCCAGCAGCCGCGGUAAUACGGAGGGUGCGAGCGUUAAUCGGAAUUACUGGGCGUAAAGCGCGCGUAGGCGGUCUGAUAAGCCGGUUGUGAAAGCCCCGGGCUCAACCUGGGAACGGCAUCCGGAACUGUCAGGCUAGAGUGCAGGAGAGGAAGGUAGAAUUCCCGGUGUAGCGGUGAAAUGCGUAGAGAUCGGGAGGAAUACCAGUGGCGAAGGCGGCCUACUGGACUGACACUGACGCUGAGGUGCGAAAGCGUGGGUAGCAAACAGGAUUAGAUACCCCUGUAGUC
rnacentral:rRNA from 1 species